rnacentral:rRNA from 1 species
GACAGAGGGUGCAAACGUUGUUCGGAAUUACUGGGCGUAAAGCGCGUGUAGGCGGCUAAGUAAGUCGGGCGUGAAAUCCCACGGCUCAACCGUGGAAGUGCACUCGAAACUGCAUAGCUAGAGUCCUGGAGAGGAAGGUGGAAUGCUUGGUGUAGAGGUGAAAUUCGUAGAUAUUGGGAGGAACACCGGUGGCGAAGGCGGCUCACUGGACCGGUACUGACGCUGAGACGCGAAAGCCAGGGGAGCAAACGGG